rnacentral:tRNA from 1 species
AACUACUUGACUGACAGGAAAGUGUAUGUUUUGAAAACAUCUAAUGACGGUUCGAAUCCCUCAGUAGUUU